GUGCGUGCCCAGAAAGAUGGCGGCCACCUACAAGCCACGAGAAGAGGCCUUGGAAUAAAACCUACCUCGCCAAAACUUCAAUCUUGGAUUUCCAGCCUCCAGAACUGAAUGGGAGCCAAGGGAUGGGACGGAGGUGAGGUCGACUGUCAGCUCGCUGCACCGAUGUGUCCAGGGCCUGAGCCCGGCACCUCCCUGCCACCAGCAGCACUGCCUCUUCUUGCAGCUGCAGAACGAUGCCACACAGGUACCCAGCCACUCAGUGAGUCCUCAGCAACUGCAGCUUCCUCCUUGCAUAUAAACGUGCUCUGAUA